UACGAAGGGGACUAGCGUUGUUCGGAUUCAUUGGGCGUAAAGGGUGCGUAGGCGGCGAGGUAAGUCGGAUGUGAAAUCCCGGGGCUCAACCCCGGAACUGCAUUCGAUACUGCUUUGCUUGAGUACUGGAGAGGAGACUGGAAUUUACGGUGUAGCAGUGAAAUGCGUAGAUAUCGUAAGGAAGACCAGUGGCGAAGGCGAGUCUCUGGACAGUUACUGACGCUGAGGCACGAAGGCCAGGGGAGCAAACGGG
rnacentral:rRNA from 1 species